rnacentral:rRNA from 1 species
GACCUGGCGGCAGGCUUACACAUGCAAGUCGAACGAUGAUUGUCUAGCUUGCUAGACAUGAUUAGUGGCGAACGGGUGAGUAAUGCUUAGGAAUCUGCCUAUUAGUGGGGGACAACAUUCCGAAAGGAAUGCUAAUACCGCAUACGUCUUACGAGAGAAAGCAGGGGAUCAUUUGACCUUGCGCUAAUAGAUGAGCCUAAGUCGGAUUAGCUAGUUGGUGGGGUAAAGGCCUACCAAGGCGACGAUCUGUAGCUGGUCUGAGAGGAUGAUCAGCCACACUGGGACUGAGACACGGCCCAGACUCCUACGGGAGGCAGCAGUGGGGAAUAUUGGACAAUGGGCGAAAGCCUGAUCCAGCCAUGCCGCGUGUGUGAAGAAGGCCUUUUGGUUGUAAAGCACUUUAAGUGGGGAGGAAAAGCAAUUGGUUAAUACCCAGUUGCCCUGACGUUACCCACAGAAUAAGCACCGGCUAACUCUGUGCCAGCAGCCGCGGUAAU